rnacentral:rRNA from 1 species
GGUUAAGCGACUAAGCGUACACGGUGGAUGCCCUGGCAGUCAGAGGCGAUGAAGGACGUGCUAAUCUGCGAUAAGCGUCGGUAAGGUGAUAUGAACCGUUAUAACCGGCGAUUUCCGAAUGGGGAAACCCAGUGUGAUUCGUCACACUAUCAUUAACUGAAUCCAUAGGUUAAUGAGGCGAACCGGGGGAACUGAAACAUCUAAGUACCCCGAGGAAAAGAAAUCAACCGAGAUUCCCCCAGUAGCGGCGAGCGAACGGGGAGCAGCCCAGAGCCUGAAUCAGUGUGUGUGUUAGUGGAAGCGUCUGGAAAGGCGUGCGAUACAGGGUGACAGCCCCGUACACAAAAAUGCACAUAUUGUGAGCUCGAUGAGUAGGGCGGGACACGUGGUAUCCUGUCUGAAUAUGGGGGGACCAUCCUCCAAGGCUAAAUACUCCUGACUGACCGAUAGUGAACCAGUACCGUGAGGGAAAGGCGAAAAGAACCCCGGCGAGGGGAGUGAAAAAGAACCUGAAACCGUGUACGUACAAGCAGUGGGAGCACGCUUAGGCGUGUGACUGCGUACCUUUUGUAUAAUGGGUCAGCGACUUAUAUUCUGUAGCAAGGUUAACCGAAUAGGGGAGCCGAAGGGAAACCGAGUCUUAACUGGGCGUUAAGUUGCAGGGUAUAGACCCGAAACCCGGUGAUCUAGCCAUGGGCAGGUUGAAGGUUGGGUAACACUAACUGGAGGACCGAACCGACUAAUGUUGAAAAAUUAGCGGAUGACUUGUGGCUGGGGGUGAAAGGCCAAUCAAACCGGGAGAUAGCUGGUUCUCCCCGAAAGCUAUUUAGGUAGCGCCUCGUGAAUUCAUCUCCGGGGGUAGAGCACUGUUUCGGCAAGGGGGUCAUCCCGACUUACCAACCCGAUGCAAACUGCGAAUACCGGAGAAUGUUAUCACGGGAGACACACGGCGGGUGCUAACGUCCGUCGUGAAGAGGGAAACAACCCAGACCGCCAGCUAAGGUCCCAAAGUCAUGGUUAAGUGGGAAACGAUGUGGGAAGGCCCAGACAGCCAGGAUGUUGGCUUAGAAGCAGCCAUCAUUUAAAGAAAGCGUAAUAGCUCACUGGUCGAGUCGGCCUGCGCGGAAGAUGUAACGGGGCUAAACCAUGCACCGAAGCUGCGGCAGCGACGCUUAUGCGUUGUUGGGUAGGGGAGCGUUCUGUAAGCCUGCGAAGGUGUGCUGUGAGGCAUGCUGGAGGUAUCAGAAGUGCGAAUGCUGACAUAAGUAACGAUAAAGCGGGUGAAAAGCCCGCUCGCCGGAAGACCAAGGGUUCCUGUCCAACGUUAAUCGGGGCAGGGUGAGUCGACCCCUAAGGCGAGGCCGAAAGGCGUAGUCGAUGGGAAACAGGUUAAUAUUCCUGUACUUGGUGUUACUGCGAAGGGGGGACGGAGAAGGCUAUGUUGGCCGGGCGACGGUUGUCCCGGUUUAAGCGUGUAGGCUGGUUUUCCAGGCAAAUCCGGAAAAUCAAGGCUGAGGCGUGAUGACGAGGCACUACGGUGCUGAAGCAACAAAUGCCCUGCUUCCAGGAAAAGCCUCUAAGCAUCAGGUAACAUCAAAUCGUACCCCAAACCGACACAGGUGGUCAGGUAGAGAAUACCAAGGCGCUUGAGAGAACUCGGGUGAAGGAACUAGGCAAAAUGGUGCCGUAACUUCGGGAGAAGGCACGCUGAUAUGUAGGUGAAGUCCCUCGCGGAUGGAGCUGAAAUCAGUCGAAGAUACCAGCUGGCUGCAACUGUUUAUUAAAAACACAGCACUGUGCAAACACGAAAGUGGACGUAUACGGUGUGACGCCUGCCCGGUGCCGGAAGGUUAAUUGAUGGGGUUAGCGCAAGCGAAGCUCUUGAUCGAAGCCCCGGUAAACGGCGGCCGUAACUAUAACGGUCCUAAGGUAGCGAAAUUCCUUGUCGGGUAAGUUCCGACCUGCACGAAUGGCGUAAUGAUGGCCAGGCUGUCUCCACCCGAGACUCAGUGAAAUUGAACUCGCUGUGAAGAUGCAGUGUACCCGCGGCAAGACGGAAAGACCCCGUGAACCUUUACUAUAGCUUGACACUGAACAUUGAGCCUUGAUGUGUAGGAUAGGUGGGAGGCUUUGAAGUGUGGACGCCAGUCUGCAUGGAGCCGACCUUGAAAUACCACCCUUUAAUGUUUGAUGUUCUAACGUGGACCCGUAAUCCGGGUUGCGGACAGUGUCUGGUGGGUAGUUUGACUGGGGCGGUCUCCUCCUAAAGAGUAACGGAGGAGCACGAAGGUUGGCUAAUCCUGGUCGGACAUCAGGAGGUUAGUGCAAUGGCAUAAGCCAGCUUGACUGCGAGCGUGACGGCGCGAGCAGGUGCGAAAGCAGGUCAUAGUGAUCCGGUGGUUCUGAAUGGAAGGGCCAUCGCUCAACGGAUAAAAGGUACUCCGGGGAUAACAGGCUGAUACCGCCCAAGAGUUCAUAUCGACGGCGGUGUUUGGCACCUCGAUGUCGGCUCAUCACAUCCUGGGGCUGAAGUAGGUCCCAAGGGUAUGGCUGUUCGCCAUUUAAAGUGGUACGCGAGCUGGGUUUAGAACGUCGUGAGACAGUUCGGUCCCUAUCUGCCGUGGGCGCUGGAGAAUUGAGGGGGGCUGCUCCUAGUACGAGAGGACCGGAGUGGACGCAUCACUGGUGUUCGGGUUGUCAUGCCAAUGGCACUGCCCGGUAGCUAAAUGCGGAAGAGAUAAGUGCUGAAAGCAUCUAAGCACGAAACUUGCCCCGAGAUGAGUUCUCCCUGACUCCUUGAGAGUCCUGAAGGAACGUUGAAGACGACGACGUUGAUAGGCCGGGUGUGUAAGCGCAGCGAUGCGUUGAGCUAACCGGUACUAAUGAACCGUGAGGCUUAACCUU